CUACGGGCUGCACCAGUGGGGAAUAUUGCACAAUGGGCGCAAGCCUGAUGCAGCCAUGCCGCGUGUAUGAAGAAGGCCUUCGGGUUGUAAAGUACUUUCAGCGGGGAGGAAGGGAGUAAAGUUAAUACCUUUGCUCAUUGACGUUACCCGCAGAAGAAGCACCGGCUAACUCCGUGCCAGCAGCCGCGGUAAUACGGAGGGUGCAAGCGUUAAUUGGAAUUACUGGGCGUAAAGCGCACGCAGGCGGUUUGUUAAGUCAGAUGUGAAAUCCCCGGGCUCAACCUGGGAACUGCAUCUGAUACUGGCAAGCUUGAGUCUCGUAGAGGGGGGUAGAAUUCCAGGUGUAGCGGUGAAAUGCGUAGAGAUCUGGAGGAAUACCGGUGGCGAAGGCGGCCCCCUGGACGAAGACUGACGCUCAGGUGCGAAAGCGUGGGGAGCAAACAAGAUUAGAUACCCCAGUAGUC
rnacentral:rRNA from 1 species